rnacentral:rRNA from 1 species
CACUUCUAAGGAAGGCAGCAGGCGCGCAAAUUACCCAAUCCUGACUCAGGGAGGUAGUGACAAGAAAUAACAAUAAACCGGCUUAUGCCGGUUUAAUUGGAAUGAGUACAAUUUAAACAUCUUAACGAGGAACAAUUGGAGGGCAAGUCUGGUGCCAGCAGCCGCGGUAAUUCCAGCUCCAAUAGCGUAUACUAAAGUUGUUGCAGUUAAAAAGCUCGUAGUUGGAUUUCUGUGGGGACGGAGCGGCCGGCCGCAACUCGCGGUUCGAGCUAGCGCUUUCCCUACAUCCUGCCGCGAACCGUGCUACCAUUAAUUUGGUGGCGCCGGGGAUCGGCUCGAUUACUUUGAGAAAAAUAGAGUGUUCAAAGCAGGCCACACGCCUUGAAUAAGUUAGCAUGGAAUAAUAACUAAGGACUUCGGUUCUAUUUUGUUGGUGUUCGGGACUGAAGUAAUGAUUGAUAGGGACAGUUGGGGCGGUCUGUAUUCCAAAGCGAGAGGUGAAAUUCUUAGACCUUCGGAAGACAAACAGCUGCGAAAGCGUUCCGCAAGGAUGUUCCCUUUGAUCAAGAACGAAAGUUGGGGGAUCGAAGACGAUCAGAUACCGUCGUAGUCUCAACUAUAAACUAUACCAGCUAGGGAUCGGCCAACGUUAUUCUAUACCGACUUGGUCGGCACCUUAUGAGAAAUCAAAGCAUCUGGGUUCCGGGGGGAGUAUGGUCGCAAGGCUGAAACUUAAAGGAAUUGACGGAAGGGCACCACCAGCCGUGGAGCCUGUGGCUUAAUUUGACUCAACACGGGAAAACUUACCAGGUCCAGACAUAGUAAGGAUUGACAGAUUGAUAGCUCUUUCUUGAUUCUGUGGGUGGUGGUGCAUGGCCGUUCUUAGUUGGUGGAGUGAUUUGUCUGGUUAAUUCCGUUAACGAACGAGACCCCAGCCUGCUAAAUAGCGCGUGUGAGCUUUGCUCGCAGCGAGCUUCUUAGAGGGACUAUGAUGCGCGAUAGCACAUGGAAGUUUGGGGCAAUAACAGGUCUGUGAUGCCCUUAGAUGUUCUGGGCCGCACACGGGCUACACUGGCGCCUGCAACGAGCAUAUCAGCUGGCCCGAGAGGGUCUUGGCUAAUCUUUUGAACCGGCGCCGUGCUUGGGAUUGACCUUUGCAAUUGUUGGUCAUGCAACGAGGAAUGCCUUGUAAACGCGAGUCAUCAGCUCGCAUUGAAUACGUCCCUGCCCUUUGUACACACCGCCCGUCGCUCCUACCGAUGAAUGUUCCGAUGAAAUUUUCGGAGAGUGCCUGUGAACUUGGCUCUGCCUUGCGAACGGGAAGCUCAAAGUCACUUAAAUCUGAACAUUUCGAGG